UUUCUUUAAAUCAAUUUCUAUAUUUUCAAUACGUAAUUUUCACAUGCAUAAACUUACUAUGUAAUUUACACAAAUUACAAUUAAGAGUGCUUUAAGGUAAAUUGAAUGAUAGAAUCUUUAUUUAAGGCAAUAAAUAUUAAUAUUUAAAAAUGAAUAAUAACGAUGUAUGCAGUAAAAUAUUCAUUUCUUUAAAAAAAAAAUGCACUCCGGAA
rnacentral:lncRNA from 1 species